CCGCAGCCCCCUCCUGAUUCCCCAUCGUCCCUCCCACAUCGCCGCCACCAACCAUCUCCUCGCCUCCCUCCUGUCAUUGCUCGCCAUUGGCCCCCCCCCUUCUCUCCUCUCACCUCGCAGCACCAGUAGCUACCAGAUCCGCCGCAUCCCUCACGCCGCAGCCAACGCCCGCCGGUUCCGGUGACUCCACCACCGCGCAACACAUAGAUGAGCUGGUCUCUGACCCCUCGUCCUCCAAGCCAGUUGGAUCCGCCGCACCCGUUCCCCUGCGCUCGCCUGUGACGCCUAGCCUGUGGCUAGGGUUUCGGCUGCAGAUCGCGUCCAUCCUCGGCACGUCUCCGGCGGCUUCGCUCCAUUGCACACCGCGCGGACUCGCGCCAUCUCCACCUUCUGGAUGGCUUCUCCUAGCUCAGUGUGUUCGCCCGCGUUGGGCUGCACGGCGGCGACCCCAACCUCCUCUGCCACAUCUCUGGCGCGGCUGUGCAUCCUGUGGCAACCUCCUUUGCAGCAUUUGGACCACUAGAGGCCCUCCCUUGCCCAGGUUCAACAAGACUGUUAAAUGCAAUCUAUAGUGCAGGUCACUAUUCUGAACAAGUUCCUGUUCUGCACGCAUACAACAUACUAGCGUCUUGCUGCCGCGCCAUAUAGAUUGAUAAAUUGAUUUUUCUCUAAAGUAGGUAAGAGCAUAUGUUGUUGCAAAGUAUAUGAAUAUCUUUUUGUUGAUGUAGCUGAUUGUUUAUUUCUUUUAUCUAAUAAGGGGAAGUGGUCUGUAUGUUUUGAAGGGGAGAAUAUUUGAGUUGUAAAAUUGAUUGUGCCUCUCCUGUCCUUCACAUCUGGACGGAGGGAACACAUAACAGAAGUCUCAAUAUAUCGGUGACAUAGUCUGUCAAGAACCGAUUCACAUACAUAUCAUAUAUACAAGAGCUAGGCAAUCCAUUUUACAGUUUGUAGGUACGAUGCAUUUUUUUCAUGUGUGAAUCUAGGAGAGGUGGUACUAAAAGGUUGGCCUUUGUGUCAGGUAGAAGAGAUGUUUAGAUACAAAAUUAGAUACAAAAAGGUCGCAGGUAGAAGAGAUGUCUAGAUAUUUGAGUUACCGCUAGCGUGCUCCAAUUAACAGGUAGAGAUCAUGGGCUAUUCGAAAGGAGAGUAGGAUAUGUUCAGAACAACAAUUAAAAAUGCAAGAAAACCAUGCUUGGCUUUCUUUAGCAACAGUUCACUUCCACUUCUACCUGAUUGUACCUCUUUAAUGUCCAUGAUGGUUUUCUGCUCUGCAUACAGUAUGGGUCAAAAGUCCAAAUGGCGAAAAAGGCGCUGACGCCGUUACUUGGAAACAAUAAUUAACUUUUGUAGUUUGUUUACCUUCUUUGUCUCCCGAGUAUACUUUGUGUGUCCAUACUUCUGUUCCAAAAAGAAAAUUGUAAGUAACAAUGAAAGAAAGAAGAAUUGAUUACCUGACUUCUUCAUUACUGCCUUGAUGUCUUAUUCAAUUAUUGCCUGACUUCUUAAUAUACUUGGAUGAAUAAUCCUUUUGUUUUCCCUUCUUUUUGGGGUUUGCAAGCAACAGUUUAUAUGAUGCUGAGUUUUUUUGCUUAUUAUAGUAGAAGUGAUGGAUUUGUACUAUUGUAUUUCUGGAAAUGCGUAUUCACAGAAUUGCAAUCUGAAGGAGCGAUGGAAGUGAAGAUUGCAUGCUUUUUCUUUAAGAUACCUAAUAGAUGGCAUAUUAUUUUCGCUUCAGAUUUAAGAGUGUUCGAUCUGCUACAUCGUGCAUUUGUUCAGUCUCAAAAUUUCAGUGUUAUUCCUAGCAUAUUCUCUAUUUCUCGGUAUUAUUCACACCACGUCAUUGGUGAAAGCCUACUGGAAAGAAUAAUUAAUUAAUGGUGUGCUAGUAAUCUUUAAACUAAAAUGUUAGGUAUACAACCAGAACUAUACAAAAAAAGAGAUCAGGUAUAUUCCCUUGAAUUAUAUACUUAAUACAUUUUCAUGUGGGGGCUCUUUGUAGAAAGCAAUUGAGAUAAUAAUCAGGAAUAGAGAAUAUGCUAGUAAUCCUGCUAGUAAAGAUAAUAAUCAGGAAGUGGCAUAUAUACAAUUUCAACACAUGCUCUAUCUCAAUUCUUCAUACCAUCUCAUACUGAAGUGAGGGCAAAGAUAAUUAUGUACCUUGUAUGCCAUGAAGGCUAAUCAGUAAAUUAGAGAAUGCAUGUUUUUUUAUUCCAACAUAUGUCAUUGUUCUUCACAACUCCCAGGUGUUGUUAAUCUAGAUGUGAAGGUUAUCGUACUAAGUGGAUCAUUUAAUUCCCUAAAAUGCUCUUGCCUUUGAGUGGUUUUUAUUUCACAUUACAUGCAAAAGGCUAGUUUAUUAACAUAAUUACUUUUAAUUGAUGAAGAAAGUAUGCCUCCAGUAUUACUAUUCUGCUUUUUCUUAGCGUGUGUUGCCCACAUUUUUAUGCUACCUUAAUAUAGUAGUGGUGUGUGCAUCAGAUGAUUGCUUGGAAAAUCAACUAAUUAUUGCUCUUUGUAUUCAUUUGGGAGCUGGCUGUUAUAACUUAUUAUCAUUCUGAUGUGUUUUGGAUUCUUUGCAGAUUUUGCAGUUAGUCCGUGUUACUGGAGAUUAAAGUUUUUCAGCAGGAUUACUUGGGUCCAAUUAGCUGCGUGGAAGUGGCUGUGUAGUGUUAGAGAUUAAAAUCACCCAGUAGUGCUUUUUCAACGGAGUCAUGUUACUCGAUUUUUUUUAAAUGCUUAUAGCGCCUUCUAGAUAUGCUUGUGAUGUUUUGAUAUUAAUUUUGUUUUUCAAAAUCAGACCAGAUAGUAGGAAAUUUGUAUUGUCUUGUGAACAAAUGCUAUUUUUUGAAUGAAUAUAAUUUGUUGUCUUUGUAAA